AGAGUUUGAUCCUGGCUCAGGACGAACGCUGGCGGCGCGCCUAACACAUGCAAGUCGAACGAGAGAUGAGGAGCUUGCUCUUCAAAUCGAGUGGCGAACGGGUGAGUAACGCGUGAGGAACCUGCCUCAAAGAGGGGGACAACAGUUGGAAACGACUGCUAAUACCGCAUAAGCCCACGGCUCGGCAUCGAGCAGAGGGAAAAGGAGCAAUCCGCUUUGAGAUGGCCUCGCGUCCGAUUAGCUAGUUGGUGAGGUAACGGCCCACCAAGGCGACGAUCGGUAGCCGGACUGAGAGGUUGAACGGCCACAUUGGGACUGAGACACGGCCCAGACUCCUACGGGAGGCAGCAGUGGGGAAUAUUGCACAAUGGGGGAAACCCUGAUGCAGCGACGCCGCGUGGAGGAAGAAGGUCUUCGGAUUGUAAACUCCUGUUGUUGAGGAAGAUAAUGACGGUACUCAACAAGGAAGUGACGGCUAACUACGUGCCAGCAGCCGCGGUAAAACGUAGGUCACAAGCGUUGUCCGGAAUUACUGGGUGUAAAGGGAGCGCAGGCGGGAGAACAAGUUGGAAGUGAAAUCCAUGGGCUCAACCCAUGAACUGCUUUCAAAACUGUUUUUCUUGAGUAGUGCAGAGGUAGGCGGAAUUCCCGGUGUAGCGGUGGAAUGCGUAGAUAUCGGGAGGAACACCAGUGGCGAAGGCGGCCUACUGGGCACCAACUGACGCUGAGGCUCGAAAGUGUGGGUAGCAAACAGGAUUAGAUACCCUGGUAGUCCACACCGUAAACGAUGAUUACUAGGUGUUGGAGGAUUGACCCCUUCAGUGCCGCAGUUAACACAAUAAGUAAUCCACCUGGGGAGUACGACCGCAAGGUUGAAACUCAAAGGAAUUGACGGGGGCCCGCACAAGCAGUGGAGUAUGUGGUUUAAUUCGACGCAACGCGAAGAACCUUACCAAGUCUUGACAUCCCUUGACGAUGCUGGAAACAGUAUUUCUCUUCGGAGCAAGGAGACAGGUGGUGCAUGGUUGUCGUCAGCUCGUGUCGUGAGAUGUUGGGUUAAGUCCCGCAACGAGCGCAACCCUUAUGGUCAGUUACUACGCAAGAGGACUCUGGCCAGACUGCCGUUGACAAAACGGAGGAAGGUGGGGAUGACGUCAAAUCAUCAUGCCCUUUAUGACUUGGGCUACACACGUACUACAAUGGCGUUAAACAAAGAGAAGCAAGACCGCGAGGUGGAGCAAAACUCAGAAACAACGUCCCAGUUCGGACUGCAGGCUGCAACUCGCCUGCACGAAGUCGGAAUUGCUAGUAAUCGUGGAUCAGCAUGCCACGGUGAAUACGUUCCC
rnacentral:rRNA from 1 species